GACGAACGCUGGCGGCGUGCUUAACACAUGCAAGUCGAGCGGUAAGGCUCCUUCGGGAGUACACGAGCGGCGAACGGGCGAGUAACACGUGAGUAAUCUGCCCUUCACUUCGGGAUAACCACCGGAAACGGUGGCUAAUACCGAAUACGACCAGUCUUCGCAUGAGGUGCUGGUGGAAAGUCUUUUCGGUGAAGGAUGUGCUCGCGGCCUAUCAGCUUGUUGGUGGGGUAAUGGCCUACCAAGGCUUCGACGGGUAGCCGGCCUGGGAGGGUGACCGGCCACACUGGGACUGAGACACGGCCCAGACUCCUACGGGAGGCAGCAGUGGGAAAUAUUGGACAAUGGGCGAAAGCCUGAUCCAGCAAAGCCGCGUGAGGGAUGACGGCCUUCGGGUUGUAAACCUCUUUCAGUACCGACGAAGCGCCCUGUCGGGUGGUGACGGUAGGUACAGAAGAAGGACCGGCCAACUACGUG
rnacentral:rRNA from 1 species